AUGCAGCCAUGCCGCGUGUGUGAAGAAGGCCUUCGGGUUGUAAAGCACUUUCAGUCGUGAGGAAGGCGGUGUAGUUAAUAGCUGCAUUAUUUGACGUUAGCGACAGAAGAAGCACCGGCUAACUCCGUGCCAGCAGCCGCGGUAAUACGGAGGGUGCGAGCGUUAAUCGGAAUUACUGGGCGUAAAGCGCAUGCAGGUGGUUUGUUAAGUCAGAUGUGAAAGCCCGGGGCUCAACCUCGGAAUAGCAUUUGAAACUGGCAGACUAGAGUACUGUAGAGGGGGGUAGAAUUUCAGGUGUAGCGGUGAAAUGCGUAGAGAUCUGAAGGAAUACCGGUGGCGAAGGCGGCCCCCUGGACAGAUACUGACACUCAGAUGCGAAAGCGUGGGGAGCAAACAGGAUUAGAUACCCUGGUAGUCCACGCCGUAAACGAUGUCUACUUGGAGGUUGUGGCCUUGAGCCGUGGCUUUCGGAGCUAACGCGUUAA
rnacentral:rRNA from 1 species